CAGCCGCCGCGGGAAUACAGAGGGUGCGAGCGUUAAUCGGAUUUACUGGGCGUAAAGCGUGCGUAGGCGGCUUUUUAAGUCGGAUGUGAAAUCCCUGAGCUUAACUUAGGAAUUGCAUUCGAUACUGGGAAGCUAGAGUAUGGGAGAGGAUGGUAGAAUUCCAGGUGUAGCGGUGAAAUGCGUAGAGAUCUGGAGGAAUACCGAUGGCGAAGGCAGCCAUCUGGCCUAAUACUGACGCUGAGGUACGAAAGCAUGGGGAGCAAACAGGAUUAGAGACCCGUGUAGUCCCUGUCUCUUAUAC
rnacentral:rRNA from 1 species